rnacentral:rRNA from 1 species
AUGGCGAGUCCAAUGACAAGGGAGUUUACACUAGACUUCUUACAACAUAUUACAAAUAAUUUUGCUGAGGACCGCAUAAUUGGCAAGGGUGGGUUCGCAGUAGUUUACAAGGGAGUAUUGGACAAUGGGGAAGAGAUUGCCCUGAAGAAGCUUACUCACAUAGGGCCUGAAGACACGAAAUUUGCAGACGAGUUCAAUAAUAUUAUUAGGGCCCAUCAUCAAAAUAUUGUACAGUAUGUUGGCUACUGCUAUCAUCCAGGUAGAUGGAUUGAGCACAAUGAACAAUAUAUCUUUGUUCAUGAGCCAACAAGAAUUCUCUGCUUUGAAUAUUUGCACCGUGGAGACCUUGAGAGACACCUUUCUGACAAGCAGCCAUGCGGACUUGAUUGGCAGACAUGUUACAAUAUAAUUAAGGGAGUGUGUGCGGGUUUAAAUUAUCUUCAUAGCGUACAUAUUUACCAUCUAGACUUAAAACCAGAAAAUAUAUUGCUGGACAACAAUAUGAUGCCGAAAAUAGGAGAUUUUGGUAUAUCAAGAAUCGUCCCUUCAACAAAAACUAUUACCACCACAAAAGGAACAUUGAGAGGGACAAUGGGAUUCAUGCCACCGGAAUAUAUUGACAAACAGGAAAUCUCAUCAAAAUAUGACAUGUUCAGUUUGGGCGCUAUAAUCAUACAAAUAAUGGCAGGACGCCAGAACUACUGGAAUUGUGGACGUGUUCCUUCUGAAACUUUCAUUGAGCUUGUACGUAAAAUAUGGCGAAAAAAGUUACAUCCAACAAUGUCAUCACACACAUGGCAAGAAGUUAACACAUGCGUCAGAAUAGGAUUAAGAUGUUUGCAGGAUGACCGGCAUAAAAGGCCUACAAUAAGGGAGAUCGUCGACGAGCUUAAGAGCAUUGAUAUUAAAAACAUAUCACCUACUGAUGAGAUCAUCGAUGAACUUAAUCAGAACGAUAGGAUUGCUACUGAAAAAUUCUCACUUGCAGAUGAGGCUACCAACUUACAAAUGAGGGUGGCAUUGGCCUAUAACCAUUACAAGUACUCAGCUUCGAUCGGGGUGCAUGAUAGCAGCAGUCGGCUCAAAUCCCCUGCCGACCUCAUGAAUUAUGAACAAGAGCCUGUCAUGAGGGACCCGGAGCAGGAGUCCCCAGCUAUUGGAGGGCUCGCGGAUCUGACCCAGAUGGAUGGCAACUGUUGCUCGAAUAACCCAAAUCUCAGGGAGAAAGUGUGUGUUCAUACGCAUCGUGUCACCAUGGAUACUAAUGGGCUCACUAGUGGAACCGAUAAGUGUGUCAAUCUUUUUCAAUGGGCUAGAUCUGCUAUUACUUCUGACACUAAGGAGCAAAGGUUUCAAAAUAAUCUAUUUGACUUGCAAAGAGACUUGCAAUGCCUUUGUGACACUCUUCCUGCUAUGUAUAGCCUAAUUAAUCGAGCAGAGUGGAGAAGCCACAACGAUGAUGUGGUCGGGCAGCUUCCAAAACUCAAGGAUGCGGUCUAUGAUGUUGAAGACCUUCUUGAUGAGAUCACAUGGUACAACCAUAAGGUCAUAAUGGAGCGCAAUGAAAGCCAAUUAUCUUUUACAGACUUCUAUAAUAGCUUCAAAGAAGUCAAUGUCGUCCGUGAAAGGCUAAAAACUAAUUCCAAACUCCUAGAGAAAAUGGGGUUGGUUGAAGUGACACUCCGGUUUGACAAAACAACUAGGCCAGAGACUAGCUCUUUCCCCAAUGAAACAGAAAUAUUUGGUCGUGACAUGGUGCUAGAGCAGAUUAUGAGAUUGCUUGGCGUGCCUACACGUAGUAGCAAAUGUUCGAAACGCAAGAGGGAAAUUAAUGCAGAUGAAGCAUCAACAAGCAUAUUAGCGAGUGGCCAAGUUAAUGAAUCAAGAUUACGAGAUCUUCCCGUUUUGCCCAUAGUUGGAAUUGGGGGUGUUGGAAAGACCACUUUGGCCCAACAUAUCAGUAGUCAUCAAAAAGUGAAGUCUCACUUCGACACAAUAAUUUGGAUUUGUGUCUCCGAUGAUUUCGAUGAGAAGAGAUUAACUAAAGAGGCUAUAGAAUCUUGUCCUGGUAAUGAGGCAAGAACAAGCAAUUUGAAUUCUCUUCAGCAUGCUCUUUCUAACCUACUGGACAACAGAAAGUUCUUGAUUGUCCUCGAUGAUUUGUGGGAUGAUGCUCUGAAGGAAAAUGGUCAGUGUUGGAGGAGGUUUUGUGAACCUUUGAAAAAUGCACUACAAGGAAGUAUGAUGUUAGUCACCACCAGAUCUCCAAAAGUUUCUGAUUUAGUGCACACUAUGGAGCCAAUUAUAUUAGAAGGUUUAAAGGAUGAUGUAUUUUGGAAGUUCUUCAAAGUAUGUGUGUUUGGAUCUGAGAGUUCUAAUGAUUUUCCAGAUUUAGAGCUCAUUGGUAGAACGAUACUUCCUAAGUUGAAGGGCUCUCCUUUAGCUGCUAAAACUCUUGGACGCAUGUUACGGGAUGACCUUCGCACAUCACAUUGGAAUAAUAUACUAGAAAGUGAACUGUGGGAGUUGGACCAAGAGACGACUGAAAUUGUGCCAGCUCUUCGGUUGAGCUACAUGUAUUUACCAUUCCACUUGAAGAGAUGCUUUUCAUUCUGCGCUGUGUACCCCAAAGAUAAGGUGUUCGAAAAGGAGAGCUUAGCAGAAAUUUGGGUGGCAGAAGGCUUUGUGAAGCAUCAAGGUGUUAUUCCAGUUCAAGAUAUUGGAUGCCAAUACUUUAAUGACCUAUUAAAUCGGUCCUUCUUUCAAGAAGUUCAAGGCAAAUACUUAAUCCAUGACUUAUUGCAUGAUAUGGCACAAAAAGUUUCAGAGGAUGACUGUUUUAUCGUGAAAAACAAUGAUGACUUCAAAAGAAUUCCUCAGAAUGUUCGCCAUUUGUCAGUACUCUCUAGCACAAACAUCAAGAAUUCAAACUUAUUGAGCCUACGUCACUGCAGAAAGCUCCGUACCCUUCUUUGCAACAAAUCUUUAGCAAAUAAAAAAACUCCAGCUAGUUUGAUGGAUACUUGGUGCAGCGAGCUUCUGCAUAUGCGCGUGAUUGUUUGUGCCUCUGUGAAUGAGUUACCAGAUAGCGUUGGCAAAUUGAAACAUCUUCGGUACAUUGAGGUAGCCAGAGCUUGUUCUGUCACCAAUCUUCCUGCAACGAUCUGUAGGCUCCACAAUUUACAGGUCAUAUGUGUCAAUAAAUGCAGGCUAGAAAGCUUGCCUAGUGACUUUGGUAUGUUGGUCAACCUAUGGAGAUUUGAAUCGCAGGGAUUUAAAUAUGGCCCAAAUAUUAGAAGAUCCCGAAAAGAAGAAUCUUUUUACGGAGUAAAUCUUGAUGCAGCCAGUGCUGAGCAGGGACCAGGAUAUAGGUUCAUAAAGAAUAUAAAGCAACUUCGUGGACAUUUGGAAAUAAGUAAUGUUGGCAAGCUAAGCAAGUACCAUUCAGCAGAAGCCCAACUAAAGAACAAGGAAUAUCUUGACAAGCUGACGCUGCUGUGGGGGGAUCAAUCGCUGGGUGACAGAAAUGACAUAGAAGUCCUUCCGGAUCUACAACCUCCUGCCAGUCUCAAGUCUUUAGUCCUUGAAGAUUACCGAGGUGUUUCUCUUCCAACCUGGUUUCAGCCAGAAAGCCUGCCAGGCUUAACAUCCGUUUCAUUUGUUAGUUGUCAUGGACUCGAGACGAUACCUACAGUUGACAUCAAUAAUGGCAGCAUUGGUUUCUCGUCCUUGACAGAUCUAAUCAUUAAUGGGUGUCCCUGUUUAUCAAGUCUCGAACAACUUCUAGAUCCAACUUAUCUACCAGUCAUAAAGAGAAUUGCAAUAAUGAAGUGCCUGAACCUAAUAUCGCUACCCACUGAAAGAUUAGGGGAAUUUAGUUCCCUUGAAAUAUUCAAGGUGGUGGAAUGUGGAAAAAUAAACUCCCAAAGUUUGGUUGCGCCCUCUCUCAAGAAGCUCGUGCUAGGCAACAAGGAGGCAUCGUCUAAUAAUGAUUGCGGGAAUCUCACAGACAAUAUCCAGUGCUGCUCCCUCACCUACUUUUUCUUGUCAUCCAGCCGUCUCAGGUCCAUCCAACUACAGAUGUGGAAUCUUCCAGCUCUACAGGAAUUGUGCAUUUCAAAUUGUCGAUCUGUUACAUCUAUUGGGCUAUAUGGACAGGUCUCCACUGGGGGAAAUGGCAGCGCUAGGGUAUUAUCAUCCCUUACUUCCCUAAGCAUCAACGACUGUGAUGAACUAUCAACCAUUGAUGAUCUCCUAGAAAAGGAAUAUCUACCUGCCAUUGAGAUAAUUUCUUUUUCUUGUUGUAAGAAAUUGUUCAUAUGGCCUAAAACGUUUGGAGUUUUUUCCUUUCUGAAGAAGUUGAAAUUUUAUGACUGCCAUAGAAUCAAGUGGGAGGGAUUGGAGUUACCAUCGUCCCUCCAAAAUCUUUGGAUAUGUUCAUGUCAGGAUAUGCGUAUGUCUUCAUUUAUUCCCAGCUGUCCAGAAGGCCUUCAGUCCCUUGUUUCACUAAAAUUGUUGUCCUGUCGACAUAUGAGAUCCAUCCCAGGCCACCUUUGGAGCAAAACUCUCUCAUCAGUCCAGAAAUUGGUGAUUUAUAAUUGUUCAGACCUUGAGUCCAUUGGUGGAGCAGAUGACAUUUCAAAAAUACCAAAUGUGCGGAUUGAGGACUGUCGCAAGUUGAAGGGAAUAGAGCAGCCUGUGAAAAGAGGCAACUUUCUGAUAGCCAAGAAGCAACAACAGCCUGUGAAAACCAGCUCGAAGUCCGUCUGGUGUCCAUGA